rnacentral:rRNA from 1 species
UACGGAGGGGGCUAGCGUUGUUCGGAAUUACUGGGCGUAAAGGGUGCGUAGGCGGCGCGGUAAGUCGGGUGUGAAAUUUCGGAGCUUAACUCCGAAACUGCAUUCGAUACUGCGGUGCUUGAGGACUGGAGAGGAGACUGGAAUUCAUGGUGUAGCAGUGAAAUGCGUAGAGAUCAUGAGGAAGACCAGUGGCGAAGGCGGGUCUCUGGACAGUUCCUGACGCUGAGGCACGAAGGCCAGGGGAGCAAACAGG